rnacentral:rRNA from 1 species
AUUGAACGCUGGCGGCAGGCCUAACACAUGCAAGUCGAACGAGUGGCGGACGGGUGAGUAAUGUCUGGGAAACUGCCUGAUGGAGGGGGAUAACUACAGGAAACGGUAGCUAAUACCGCAUACCAUCGGAUGUGCCUAGAUGGGAUUAGCUAGUAGGUGGGGUAACGGCUGACCUAGGCGACGAUCCCUAGCUGGUCUGAGAGGAUGACCAGCCACACUUGAGCUGAGACACGGUCCAGACUCGUACGGGAGGCAGACGUGGUGAAUAUUUCACAAGGGGCGCAAGCCUUAUGCAGCCAUGCCGCGUGUAUGAAGAAGGCCUUCGGGUUGUAAAGUACUUUCAGCGGGGAGGCGUUACCCGCAGAAGAAGCACCGGCUAACUCCGUGCCAGCAGCCGCGGUAAUUC